rnacentral:ncRNA from 1 species
CUACUGGGGUGCCACAUGGCUGAGAAAGACCCAUUGACCUGAUUUAGGUAAUGCUAGCGCAGGGAGUUU